GGCCUUAUGGUCUAGAAGUAUGAUUCGCCCUUCGGGUUGCCGCGUAAUCCGCUUACGUAAGCACAAAUGGGCGAGGUCCCGGGUUCAAUUCCCGGUGAGGCCC